AAUAUUCCCAACGUUGAUCUACUUCCUUUCACCAUUUUGAGCCCUAAUUUGAGAGAAAAUUCCUAUUUGAAGAGAAAGAAAAAAAAGGCUCUCUCCCUCUCUCUCUCCAACUCCAAACCCAUCGCCCUCUCUCUCUUCUCUCUCUCUCUCUCUCUCUCAAAACCCCUCUUAAAUCAUCCACCUCCAUCCUCUCUACAAGGCCCUUCGAUUUCCCUCAAAGCCCCUCUCCGACCCCAAUUUACAACGAUUCGGAUGUGAAGCCGAAGCCUCGGAAGCGACUCAUCAAGAAGAACACGACGACUGAAGAGAGCACUCCUGAUUUUGGAAUCGAGGACGAGGAUGAUGGGGAAGAAUUGGGGGAUUUUCUGAGGGGAGAGUCGGACUACGAUGAUUUCGGAGAUGGAAAAAGGAAGAAGUUUGAGAAAGAUGGUAUUGCUAGUAGGAAGAGGGAUAGACAUUGAGAAACACAUGUUCACUCUCUGUCCUCUUCGCUCUCUACCCUAGCUACUCCCUCUUCAGCGCCGCCGCCAAAGACACAUGUUCACUCUAUUAUGUUUUUGUUUUUUUCAAACGAGAGUUGGUCCUAGAUUUAUUCAUUUAUUUAUUGUAAGAAAUCGAAAUACUCUCAUUUCCUCAAUCCCCUUCAACCUCUCUCUAAUCCUCUCAGAUUUCAAUGUUUAUUCUAUUCAAUUUAAUCGAAACAGAGCUUCAAAAAUCUGAGACCAAAAUGGGAAUUCCAUCGACGAUGAGGGACGCUUGGGAAAACCAAAGAAAUUCACCUUUGAUUGCUUCACCGGCUGAGGAUCAGAAGAUUCUGAAUUCACGCCAUUGCACUCAAGAUCAUGGGUUGCUAUUGAAUGGUGUUUCUGGAAUUUGCAGAGGGUGUUCGAGCAGGAGUGAAGGCAGCUUCCAUUGCUUGUGUUGGCAGUGCUAUGCCUACUCUGGAGUCCGCUGACCUUGUCAUCUUGGAAGAGGAGGAGGAUGCCACCAGCGUCAGUGUGGGCUCGGAGGCCCUUGAUCAGCUCCGGGUGGGGACACGGAGGGUUGUUGCUGACCUUGGUGCCAAGGGUUGGACCCUUGGAGCCAUAGAAAGCCUUCUUGAGAUCAAGCACAAAUUGACCUAGAUGCAAAGAAACUACAAAGUUAUGUGACGGAAAAGUCCUUGAUUUCAGAAAAAGAUGAGAGGUGUUUGAUGAAUUUCCAAUUCAGAGCAGUGACAAACUGAGUAUACUUUAGAGACAGUGACUAAGGAAGCUUCAGGGAAAUGGAGAUAAUUCUCUAGGAAGAUUUAAAGGAUGUAGUGACUUGGGAAGUGGAUGGAACAGGAUUGACAACAUGAGUUCCUUGUUCUAUGUACCUUCCUUCCGGUAAUACGCUCUCCCUUUAAUGUUCUAUUGUUCUUUACACAGGUGUUAACUUUCCUUGUUAAUCUAAUCUAAAAUUAAAUUUAUGUAGUUAUCACAUUUUGUGAUGAAAUUCUAUCAUAUCUUUCUUCCUUUUUCCUUUUUGUUAAGUUACCACAAUAUCUAACUAAUCAUGACAUUUUAUUUGUCGCUCUUCGAAAGCUGGUCAAAGUCACCUCCAAAUCGAGAAAAAGAUAUCUAUUAACUAUGGUAACAAAGGAAAUGAGGUAAUGUCUAUUGUCACUGGGAGGCCACCAUAUGUCUAUUAUCAUAAUUACUUACAUAUGUAUCAUCUUCGUGAUAUGUUCACUUAUAUCCAUGUGUACAUAAUUCCUUACGUAAAUUCCAUGACCAACAGCAUAUGUGUGUUUCACUGGUUUAGCUUUCGAACUAAUAAUUAUUCACAAGACUUAUUGGACAUAUAUUAGCAUGUUUUGGGUUAAUGGUCACAAGAUCGUUAUGAGUUGGCUACAAAAUGUUUUGGAAAACUAAACUAGAACUUAUUUUUAGUUUAUUUUCUCUCUACCUUACCUUACCUCACUUUUUUUUUUUUUGAUCGGCAAAGAAAAAUUCCAUUAAAAACAUGAAAUUUACAGGUACACGGAAAUAAAACGCACUGAGAGAGAUUCGAAGAGUAAAAACUCACUCUCCUACUAUUGCUACUCGCAAUCUUACAACCAACCCCUUCGCCUCACGAUAUUAUAUUUUAAAAACAACUAAAAAAAAUAAAUAAAAAAACAAAAUAAAAAACCAAACUCUUGAGCCCCACCUACAUCACAGCUACACACCCCAACUACACACCCCACGACUGACUCAAAUCUGAUACACUCUUGAGCCCCACGCCUGACCCGAAGCACUCUGCACCACUCAACCUCCAUUGCCGGACACUCAACCACCCGUCGAGAACCACCCGACAACAGCCUCUUCUUGCUUCACCAUCGAGAACCACCCGUGACCGAACCUACUUUGCUUCACCUCUGAACAUCGCCAGCCUCUUCUUGCUUCACUCUCCUCUUCUACAGCUACUGCAGCCACCUCCUUUGGUUCUUCUCCGUGACCCAAACACCUCCCACGAAUGGUCCUCACCCCCAGACACUGAGCAGUCCCCUCUUUGUUUGCCCAGCGCCAAACUCCUCAUAACCGAACACAAUCACCAACCACCAAAGAAGCGGAAAUCACCCCUCAAACUUCCAGUCGCACAGGAGCGCUCGAAUGGAGAACCUAAACAGCUCUGAAUCCUCCACCCCUCAAACUCCCGCUCGCAAAGAAGUGCCCGAAUGAAGUUCCUGGACCAACCCACCCAUGUUCAACGCACCCAACCUAAACCGAGACCCAUGGCUGCAGUAGAACACCAUGGCUGAAUCACCACUUCCACCGAAAACGAGCAUCCUACACAAACCGAGUAUCCUACACAAAAACGAUAAACCCAAAACAGCAACCUAAACAAAUCUAGAGAUUAGAUCUGGAAAGGAGAAAGAAGAAAACUAAAGGGGCCUCAAGUUAUUUGGGAGAAAACCUAAGAGUACAAGAAGAAAAGAUAGGCCAGCCAACCGCCAUGGCCAAAGGCAGCGGCCGGCUGGCCAACGGUGAGGCCCGAGGUGGAGGUUUUUUGAAAGAGAGUUUUUUGAAAAACACCUAUCUAUGCCUUAUGCCUUACCUCACUUUAUUUUGCUUUCCUGUUGUGUUUGUGUUGCCUCAACUAGAACCAUAGCAUUUUGCAUGAUUGUAGACAGUAGGUUUAUUAUUGAACUGUACUCAUUUCUUAGUGAUAUGAUUGAUCUUAGUUUAGAUUAUUUAUGUCGCGCAAGUUUUGAUAUAUAUGGAACUUGUAUUAUUUUGAUGCAGCUGCACAGGCAAGUGGAAGCUUUAGUCUACCUUUCAAUAUAUAAAAAACUCUUCGUCUUUUUCUUCCUUUUACUUAUUUAUUUUUAAUGCAGGAAUUGCUAUACCUAUAUAGAUUUGGUUAUGAUUUUUAAUGCAGGAAUUGUUGUACCUAUAGAGGUACGUUAACUCCUUGAACUUCGAUGUGUUUAUUUUAGUUAUUUCUUUGAGAUGACUGUUUAAUCAACCUCUUCUUCUUAUAUCUACAUAACCAUUAAUUAGUUUUGUUGGAUUUCUUAUUUCUGCAUACACAAAGUUGCUAAAUUAUCUAAUUUUGCUGUUAAUUUGAUACACCAAAGAGGGUAUAUACAAUGUCUGACUCUAGGAGAUGUUUGGCUAUGAGGUUUACCAGAAUUAUAGUUGUUAUGGCUCUGCUGGUUUAUGUUUCAGAAAGGUUGAAUUCGAAUAGGCUUUUUGCCGUGAUGGUUUGUUUGAAAAUUCCUACUCAUUUCCCUCUAGAAACAUUGCAACAAAAGAGGUAAUUUCAUUAGAGGUAACUUUAUUUGAAGUAUGAAAAAAAAAGGUUUUGCUUUAUGUGGAUUUUAUUUGCAUAUAUGUUGUGACUCUUUAGAUUUUGAAUUUUUGCUAAUAGUAAAUAUUUUCCCAAUUUUUGCCUACGAGACGGCUUAGCUUCUUGGAGUUUAGUUAGGCUUAGCAUUGAUUUCGGUGGAACGUGUUUUAAGUGUUUUGGAAAAGAAAAAUGCUACACAAAAUAACAAAACUCAGAAACUUUUCUUACUUAAACAUGUAGCAUAUAGUAAUGACACUUUGGUAUCUAUAACGAGACCCACUAGAAUAAUAUGUUAGGCGCAACUCAUAUGAGUAACAGAAGUAUGUAAAUUUUGUUAAUUUGUAUAAUACUCUUUGGAAAAAUAUAUGUGUUACUACAAGCUUUUAACCACUAGUUAAAUGCUUAACAGUAAAUUGUACAUUGCUGGAAAUUUGCAGCAAUUUUAAUUGGGUAGAAACAUUUCCAGAAGAACAAAUAGUAAUUUGAUGCUGCUGUGGUCAUUUGGGGAUUUAUUUAGGCAGCUUAGAUCUUGAAGUCCAUUGAAUAUGUCAUGGUUGUUAUGCUUUUUGAUCCUUUAGACAUACACCCUCUGAAUAAAAAAAUAAAAAAAGUGACAUGUAUCUUUUCCCUUUGUUGGCGAUGUUCUGUCCGUCCAAAAUGAUGUUCUUCUCUUUGUUGGCGAUGUUCUUUUGUCUGUAUUUCUGGUGAUUGCUUGGAUGUCAUCAGCGGAGCCAAUGCCUUCUUUUCCCAGGCAUUUACCAAGUCCCAACAUUUUAAGUUUGGGUAAUGAAUUUUUCGGAGAUUGGAUGGGUGUACCACUUGUUUUACACUAAACUCAGUAUAAGUACUGCAGUAAUUGUUGAUAUGAGUCUUUGCCUGAAGAUUUUUAUUCACUCGCUAUUUAUUAGGAUUACAUGAUGUGGCCAUAGUUUGUUUUCUUUUGUAAAAAUUGCAGAUCCCAUUCCAGCUUGGAUUGUCAAAAUUGGAUCUACGGAAGGUGGUGAAAUCCAAUUUAUCUGGGGUUGACAAGUCCAUCACUGCGAUGUAUAAGAAAUUGCAAAAGAACCUAACCUCAGAGGAGCUAUUGCCUUCUUUGUGGGAUAAGUGCAAGGGAAUGGUUCAAACCCAGCUUUUCAUGGACAAGGAAUGGUUCUAAUUUCUGCUGAUAAAUCCAAAGUGGAAUAGGAUGUGGUGAAAAGGCUGCUUUUGGACCCAAGUGUGGGUGGAUGGACUGAUGCUAAACUUAUAUGUUCUGUGAUUGAUCUUAAUUAUACAAUUUCCAUGCCUAUCCGAAGAGGAAUGGGUUAUAAAUACCACACUCGGUCUUAAGAAUUGGUUUUGAUUUUGAUUUUUUUAAAAUUAAUUGUUGAUGAAACUCUUAACAAUGAAUUGUAGGAUUUAAGGUUUGGAAAAGUAGAGAUCCUUUAACAUAAUUAUGCAAGUCCCAAGUAUGUGCUGCAUUGAAAUAGAUUAAUUCCUUCUCUUCUUUUUAUAUUUAAUUUUUCUCUUGAGCUUCUUAUGGUCUGAAUUUAGUUGCAAACUAUAUAUUCUUGUACAAACUUAAUGGUUUGUUUGAAGAUUCCUACUCAUUUCCCUCAAGAAACAUUGCAACAAAAGAUGUAACUCCAUUAGAGGUAACUUCAUUUGAGGUAUAAAAAAAAAGGUUUUGCUUUAUGUGGAUUUUAUUUGCAGAUACGUUGAGACUAUUGAUAUCUUGAAUUUUUGCUAAUUUUUCAUUAUGACAUUGCUUUUAUGGGGCCAUUGAAUUAUCUUAUUAAUUUUGGAAAUGCUUUGUUGUUGUUUUAAAAUUUCUUGAUCAUUUCUUAAUACCUCAAAAAUAUUUUUGUCUUGAGUUGGUUUAUGUACUUAUGUGAAGUUUCCUUUGUCAUGCAGACAGGAAAUGCAAUAGGGUUAGUUGCUCCAGCUAUUGCUGCGUGAAACAUCCCAAAAAAAAAUAAAAUUGGCCAUGAUAUAUCUAUUUAUGCAACAAAACCCACCUGAUAGACACACACACACACACACACACACACAUAUAUAUAUAUAGUUAACUAAUCCAUACACUCAUUUCCUUUAAAUCCCAAAUGCCAAAUACAUGUCGUUCUCAUAUCAAUGCUCCAGUUCUAAUCCCAAACAUGCAUUUUACAAUAAAUAUGAAAUGGAAGCCAAACAGAUAUUAAGUGCCUUACAGGCUUACAAAUUUAUUCAAGAACA